rnacentral:rRNA from 1 species
AUGUCGGAGUACAAGAACGUCGUUGGGGGGAAGCUCAAGCUGAAGGGGAAACCGCUGGAUGUCAAGGAGGGCGGAGUCAAGAAGAAGAAUAAAAAGAAGCACCGCCGCGAGGAGUCGUCUCAAGGCGAGCACGGCGAGCUCCGCGAAGGUGGAAGCUCUGAAUUGCCAGGUGACCCUGACAAUGAGUUCAGUGAAGCUGACAAGCUGGGAGAGGAAGGGAGUGCGCAAGCUGAUUAUGACCACCUCACCCCAGCCGAGAGGCGUUACAUUGAACAGAAGCAGAAGAUCGACGUACACAAGCUGGCCAAGGUGGCUGACAAGUCGCACAGGGACCGCAUCCAGGACUUCAACCAGUACCUGGCAAAUCUUAGUGAGCACUAUGAUAUCCCAAAGGUCGGCCCUGGUUAA